GUGGGGAAUUUUGGACAAUGGGCGCAAGCCUGAUCCAGCCAUGCCGCGUGCAGGAUGAAGGCCUUCGGGUUGUAAACUGCUUUUGUACGGAACGAAAAGACUCUUUCUAAUAAAGAGAGUUCAUGACGGUACCGUAAGAAUAAGCACCGGCUAACUACGUGCCAGCAGCCGCGGUAAUACGUAGGGUGCGAGCGUUAAUCGGAAUUACUGGGCGUAAAGCGUGCGCAGGCGGUGAUGUAAGACAGAUGUGAAAUCCCCGGGCUCAACCUGGGGACUGCAUUUGUGACUGCAUCGCUGGAGUGCGGCAGAGGGGGAUGGAAUUCCGCGUGUAGCAGUGAAAUGCGUAGAUAUGCGGAGGAACACCGAUGGCGAAGGCAAUCCCCUGGGCCUGCACUGACGCUCAUGCACGAAAGCGUGGGGAGCAAACAGGAUUAGAAACCCGUGUAGUCC
rnacentral:rRNA from 1 species